AGUCGAACGAAGAGCGAUGGAAGCUUGCUUCUAUCAAUCUUAGUGGCGAACGGGUGAGUAACGCGUAAUCAACCUGCCCUUCAGAGGGGGACAACAGUUGGAAACGACUGCUAAUACCGCAUACGAUCUAAUCUCGGCAUCGAGGAUAGAUGAAAGGUGGCCUCUACAUGUAAGCUAUCACUGAAGGAGGGGAUUGCGUCUGAUUAGCUAGUUGGAGGGGUAACGGCCCACCAAGGCGAUGAUCAGUAGCCGGUCUGAGAGGAUGAACGGCCACAUUGGGACUGAGACACGGCCCAGACUCCUACGGGAGGCAGCGGUGGGGAAUCUCCCGCAAUGGACGAAAGUCUGACGGAGCAACGCCGCGUGAGUGAUGACGGCCUUCGGGUUGUAAAGCUCUGUUAAUCGGGACGAAAGGCCUUCUUGCGAAUAGUGAGAAGGAUUGACGGUACCGGAAUAGAAAGCCACGGCUAACUACGUGCCAGCAGCCGCGGUAAUACGUAGGUGGCAAGCGUUGUCCGGAAUUAUUGGGCGUAAAGCGCGCGCAGGCGGAUCAGUCAGUCUGUCUUAAAAGUUCGGGGCUUAACCCCGUGAUGGGAUGGAAACUGCUGAUCUAGAGUAUCGGAGAGGAAAGUGGAAUUCCUAGUGUAGCGGUGAAAUGCGUAGAUAUUAGGAAGAACACCAGUGGCGAAGGCGACUUUCUGGACGAAAACUGACGCUGAGGCGCGAAAGCCAGGGGAGCGAACGGGAUUAGAUACCCCGGUAGUCCUAGCCGUAAACGAUGGGUACUAGGUGUAGGAGGUAUCGACCCCUUCUGUGCCGGAGUUAACGC
rnacentral:rRNA from 1 species